AUUGAACGCUGGCGGCAGGCCUAACACAUGCAAGUCGAGCGGAUGAAGGGAGCUUGCUCCUGGAUUCAGCGGCGGACGGGUGAGUAAUGCCUAGGAAUCUGCCUGGUAGUGGAGGAUAACGUCCGGAAACGGGCGCUAAUACCGCAUACGUCCUGAGGGAGAAAGUGGGGGAUCUUCGGACCUCACGCUAUCAGAUGAGCCUAGGUCGGAUUAGCUAGUUGGUGGGGUAAAGGCCUACCAAGGCGACGAUGCGUAACUGGUCUGAGAGGAUGAUCAGUCACACUGGAACUGAGACACGGUCCAGACUCCUACGGGAGGCAGCAGUGGGGAAUAUUGGACAAUGGGCGAAAGCCUGAUCCAGCCAUGCCGCGUGUGUGAAGAAGGUCUUCGGAUUGUAAAGCACUUUAAGUUGGGAGGAAGGGCAGUAAGUUAAUACCUUGCUGUUUUGACGUUACCAACAGAAUAAGCACCGGCUAACUUCGUG
rnacentral:rRNA from 1 species